ACUGUUUGUUUUGCACAUGCAUUGUUAUCUGUAUAAUGGAAUGUUAUGUGAAGGUCAUACAUGUAAGAUAUUUAUCUUGCUAUAUUACCUGUGGAAAUUCUUAAAUAUGACAGAAUUUUUCCUUAAAUUCAUAAGAAAUCUUAUAUAACUCAAUGGAUAGUUUUCAUUAUAAAACUUAUGUACAUAUACUUUUUUCUGAAGAAAAUUCUUUAAUUUGUUCAUAUUCCGAAUAAGUUUACUUUAUUUUAAUUGCUUCCAGGAAGCAAUUUCCCGACAUUUUUCCGUAUGCAAAGUGACCUCAGUGUGACUAGUCUCGUAAAAAUAUUAUCUGACUCUACAUGUUAAACACGUGCUCAAUAUCAGUGCAUUUUUGUUGAUUGUUGACGAACAGGUGACAAUCGUUAAACUUCGGCUUCAAAACACGAACUUUAAUUACCUGCCAUAUUUUCACAACAACACUGACCGAUUGUAAAAAAAUUUGACGAUUAUACGAAAUUUAUGCGAAUAAAAUGAUAAAAUCGUGCACAUACGACUUAGUUUAUGAUGUUUGUAUGCAUUGGUUCAGGAAUUGGAAUAAAAUUAUUUUUCACCGGUCACUCGUUUCUUGUGACUUUAAUUUUGAUAUGUUUCAGUUUUUGAUUUUGCUAUUCGAUAAUAAAUGACUGUCUGACUAAAAACAAUCUUUAAUGUUCGGAAUGUUUGCUGCCUUUUCAGUUGAGUAGCAGUCAUUAAUCGGUUAUCCACCAUAUUCUACAUAUAAAAAUGUGUGUACCAAGUCAGGAAUGUUUUUUAUUCGUUCGAUGUGUUUGAACUUAUACUUCUGUCAUUUCUUAAAGGACUUUCCAUUUUUUCCUAAGAUUCAUUUUUUUAACGUGUGUUUUAUUCAAGAUUCUACAUAUUGUGUAAGCUAAAUGUAUUGUUAUGAUGUCAACAAAUCGGAUUGCUGUAGUGCAUUUGUCUACAAUCCACUCUUACAAAGUCUAAAAAAAAUAUUAAUCUGCAGUAAGUUUAUGUAUUAAAGUUAUUCGUUUUUAUUUAAUGUUGUGCUUAAUUCAGGCUAUAUUCUGCUCAAAAUUAUACUAUUUACAUCUAUGUACUCGAAAUAAAUGAUUGUGUGAGGAUUAUAUAUAUUGAAUAAACAUGAUAUAUAUAAAAUAAAACAUGAAUAUCAAUAUGCUCAUGAUUAAACUAUCUGAAAUUAGACAACAAUUCCCUACUUCUUUAUUUAAGUUUCAGAAAACAAGA
rnacentral:lncRNA from 1 species